rnacentral:lncRNA from 1 species
UCAAGAGUACUAGCCUUUAUUUUAUUGCAAAAAUCCAAUUCACCAAUACGAUCGUUGACUUUGAGCAAUGAUUGUAAAGUUCUCCCAAAUCCUAUGAAAUCCAAUUCUAUACCUUUUGAAGGAGCUUGAAGCUAGCUCUUCGACUCCAAAAUCUCAAUCUUCGAAUGCCUCUUUCUUUUCUUCUCCUUUCUUUUAACUCCGUGAUGCCC